CAUCGUGUCUUUUAUUGAGUGCAUUAAAGACAUGAGAUCAAAGGCUGGCUACUUUCAGCGCUACAAGAGUUCCCGUGGCACAUUACUAGGGAAAUUUUUUUCUACCAGUUCAAAUGGCUAUGCUAAUUUUCCAUUCAGCCUCUGUUUUUUUCCCUAAGCUCACAGGAUGAGUAAGGAUGUCCUCUGGCUUCUCCCAUCACAGACACUGCCUCACAGUGCUCUUGUCCUGAUCUGACCUGGCUGUCACGAAGCUCACUGUGGGUUUUGUACCUGUGCUCUGACUGUUGGGCUGGACCGGGACAUCACUGCUCUGCCGGAGAGAAACCUUUUGCAUUUCAGCCAGGAUCCCUGCCCUCGCCCAGCCGCUCUCUCCGUCUUCCCUUCGCCCAGCUCUGCCCACCUCAGCUUCUGCAGGAGAGGCAGACCGCUCGCCGGCGUUUAGCAACGCCCCUACUAGUCGAUGUGAUGUUAACGCUCUCGCUCUGAAUGAAUUUCCUCUUUGUUUGCCUGUGAUGGAAAACUCUGUGAAA
rnacentral:lncRNA from 1 species